GACGAACGCUGGCGGCGUGCCUAACACAUGCAAGUCGAACGCGAAAGGGGGCUUGCCCCCAAGUAAAGUGGCGCACGGGUGAGUAACGCGUGGGUAACCAACCCCUAGGUGGGGGAUAACGGCCCGAAAGGGGCGCUAAUCCCGCAUAAGACCACGAUAGCGCAGGCUAUUGGGGCCAAAGGAGUGAUUCGCCUAGGGACGGGCCCGCGUCCCAUCAGCUAGUUGGUAGGGUAACGGCCUACCAAGGCAGUGACGGGUAGCUGGUCUGAGAGGAUGAUCAGCCACACUGGGACUGGAACACGGCCCAGACUCCUACGGGAGGCAGCAGUGAGGAAUUUUGGACAAUGGGCGAAAGCCUGAUCCAGCAACGCCGCGUGAGUGAUGAAGGCCCUCGGGUUGUAAAGCUCUUUCAGGGGGGAUGAGAAAGGACGGUACCCCCGACCAAGAAGCACCGGCUAACUCCGUG
rnacentral:rRNA from 1 species